UGAUGCAUGGACCGGUGCUCGAGUCUCUCGGUGCCUUCGGUCGACAAUUGCCGUACGGCAUUGCGACGGGUAUGCCAGGGACUCUUGCUGAGAUUAUACGGUUGAACUUGAUCAGGAUAAUACCUGCGUCGAAGAAUCAUGCUCCUUUCCCCC
rnacentral:ncRNA from 1 species